rnacentral:rRNA from 1 species
AUGGCAAAGUUAAUAAGGGCGCACGGUGGAUGCCUUGGCAUUAAGAGCCGAAGAAGGACGUGACUAACGACGAUAUUCUAGGGGGAGCAGUAAGUACGCAUUGAUCCCUAGGUCUCCGAAUGGGGAAACCCACUAUGUUAUGCAUAGUAUCCGUAAGUGAAUACAUAGCUUACGCGAAGGUAACGCAGAGAACUGAAACAUCUAAGUACCUGCAGGAAGAGAAAGUAAAAACGAUUUCCUAAGUAGCGGCGAGCGAACGGGAAACAGGCCAAACCAAGAAGCUUGCUUCUUGGGGUUGUAGGACUGCAACGUGGACUUAAAGUCUAUAGAAGAAUUACCUGGGAAGGUAAGCCAAAGAGAGUAAUAGCCUCGUAUUUGAAAUAGACUUUAUACCUAGCAGUAUCCUGAGUAGGGCUGGACACGCGAAAUCCAGUUUGAAUCCGGGAGGACCAUCUCCCAAGCCUAAAUACUCCUUAAUGACCGAUAGUGAACCAGUACCGUGAGGGAAAGGUGAAAAGAACCCCGGGAGGGGAGUGAAAUAGCACCUGAAACCGUGUGCCUACAAGAAGUUCGAGCCCGUCAAUGGGUGAGAGCGUGCCUUUUGUAGAAUGAACCGGCGAGUUACGUUAUGAUGCGAGGUUAAGCUGAAGAGGCGGAGCCGUAGCGAAAGCGAGUCUGAAUAGGGCGCUUUAGUAUCAUGAUGUAGACCCGAAACCUAGUGACCUAUCCAUGAGCAGGUUGAAGGUGCGGUAAGACGCACUGGAGGACCGAACCAGGACACGUUGAAAAGUGUUUGGAUGACUUGUGGAUAGCGGAGAAAUUCCAAACGAACUGGGAGAUAGCUGGUUCUCUCCGAAAUAGCUUUAGGGCUAGCGUCGCAAUUUAAGUGUAUUGGAGGUAGAGCACUGUUUGGAUGAGGGGCCCAUCUCGGGUUACCAAUUUCAGAUAAACUCCGAAUGCUAAUACACAUGUGCGGCAGUCAGACUGCGAGUGCUAAGAUCCGUAGUCGAAAGGGAAACAGCCCAGACCACCAGCUAAGGUCCCAAAAUAUAUGUUAAGUGGAAAAGGAUGUGGGGUUGCACAGACAACUAGGAUGUUAGCUCAGAAG